AGAAAUGGUUCCAGUCGUUUUUUCACCAUUCAUUUUUCACAUCGUGAAUUUUAUAAACACUUCAAACUAAGUAUUUGUUUGGUGUUGGCUUACCUAGGCCUGAUGUUUUUGACAAACCGUGUAAUUCUCUCUGACAAGAUGCACAAUCGAGAGCAUCCUGUAUCACUGCCUGGUACGACUACUGACCCGCCCACAAUCGUAAGGCUCUCCGGAGGGUAGUGAGGUCUGCACAACGCAUCACCGGGGGAAAACUACCUGCCCUCCAGGACACCUACACCACCCGAUAUCACAGGAAGGCCAAAAAGAUCAUCAAGGACAACAACCACCCGAGCCACUGCCUCUUCACCCUGCUAUCAUCCAGAAGUCAAGAGGACCUGAGCCCUAGGACCAUGCCUCAGGACUACCUGGCAUGAUGACUCCUUGC